rnacentral:rRNA from 1 species
UACGUAGGGUCCGAGCGUUGUCCGGAAUUAUUGGGCGUAAAGAGCGUGUAGGCGGCCUGACAGGUCUGCUGUGAAAACUCGAGGCUCAACCUCGAGAUGUCGGCGGAAACCGUCUGGCUAGAGUCCGGAAGAGGAGAGUGGAAUUCCUGGUGUAGCGGUGAAAUGCGCAGAUAUCAGGAAGAACACCUAUGGCGAAGGCAGCUCUCUGGGACGGUACUGACGCUGAGACGCGAAAGCGUGGGGAGCGAACAGG